GUUUUCCCGUGAGAAGAGCUGGGAGUGGGCAUGGACACCGUCGCCUCCCUGUCGCCUCUGCGCCACGGCCACCCAUCUUCUUCGUCGCCGGCGUCAUGCAAUACCAGUCGCCCUAGUCCGUGGCUGCUCAAGCUCAAGCAGAGGAGCUUGAUCAGUAGCAGUAACUCACUACCAGCCCGGCCAAGGGCAUGGCCGCCUCGUGCUUCUGCUUCCGCUUCUAGUGCCGCGACGCCGCCGCCGCCGCAGCAGCAGCAGAAAGAGAAAGACCUCGUCUUCGUGGCCGGCGCCACCGGAAGAGUUGGCUCCCGAGCCGUAAGGGAGCUCAUCAAGCUUGGCUUCCGUGUCCGCGCUGCCGUCAGGAACGCGGAGAGGGCGUCGUCCCUGGUGCAGGUACCUUACUUAGCUUGCUUGUGCAUCAAUUAUUUAUUUUAUUUACUCAAUACAAUGGAGAGGAUGAUCAAUAUGAAUAAUGAAGGAAUGAAUCUGCAUUGAUUUCCAGAGCGUCCAGCAGCUGAAACUAGACGGCAACGCAGCAGCUGCGAUUUCGCGUGAGAUGAUCAACGCAGACAACGAUGCGAUCUCGAUCAGUGUCAUCUAUCUAAUAUAUCGAGCUGAUGAUAGUGAUCUUAUUAAUCGAUAUGCAGCCUCGGAGAAGCUUGAGAUCGUGGAGUGUGAUCUGGAGAAGCAGCCGCAGGACGGCAUCGUUGAGGCCAUCGGCAAUGCUUCACUGGUGGUGUGCUCCAUUGGUGCCAGCGAGAAGGAGAUCUUGGAUGUCACGGGGCCGUACCGCAUCGACUACAUGGCCACCACCAAGCUUGUACAAGCAGCCACUGCUGCACAGGUCGAGCACUUCGUCCUGGUUACAUCCCUGGGCACCAACAGGAUCGGCUUCCCUGCGUUCCUCCUCAAGUAAUCGAUCGAUCCCAUCUCACUUGGAAUUAAUUAAUAUAAGCAACAACGGCCUACUAGCUGCUUGAUACUAAUUCGUGGCUUAAUCGAUUUUCUUGGCAAAUAUAACUAAUAAUUAAUGAACAAGCAGCUUGUUCUGGGGCGUUCUGCUCUGGAAGAGACGAGCUGAAGAAGCACUCAUCGCCAGUGGCAUCCCAUACACGGUAUAGGCAGGCACUCCCUCCUGCUCUAAUUAAUUCCUACCUUACCUUAGCUUGUACGUGUCGUUGUCGAUUUGCCAAUAAUAUAAUGCUGCCAAUUAUUUUUCUUUUAUAUUUGACUUUGAAAAAAAUCUAAACAUAGCUAUAUUCUGGGACGGACGGAGCAUGAAAUUUAUAUUACAUUACACGGUGUAAGGAAUGCUGCCAAUUAAUAAUGGUGUAAGUAGAUCAUAAGGCCCGGAGGAAUGGAGAGGCCGACAGACACUUUUAAGGAGACACACAACCUGGUGGUGGCAAUGGAGGACACCUACGUGGGUGGCCUCGUCUCCAACCUCCAGGUGGCGGAGCUCAUCGGAUGCAUGGCCAACAAUAGGAGGGCGGCCUACUGCAAGGUGGUGGAGGUGAUCGCCGAGACAACCGCGCCGCUGCUGCCAAUGGAGCAGCUCCUCGCCGCCAUCCCUUCCAAGAGGG
rnacentral:lncRNA from 1 species